rnacentral:rRNA from 1 species
CCUACGGGGUGCAGCAGUGGGGGAUAUUGCACAAUGGGGGGAACCCUGAUGCAGCGCAGCCGCGUGGGUGAAGGAGUGCUUCGGCAUGUAAAGCCCUAUCGGCAGGGAAGAAGCAAGACGGUACCUGACUAAGAAGCCCCGGCUAACUACGUGCCAGCAGCCGCGGUAAGACGGAGGGGGCGAGCGUUAUCCGGAUGCACUGGGUGUAAAGGGAGCGUAGACGGUCAUGCAAGCCAGGGGUGAAAGCCCGGGGCCCAACCCCGGAACUGCGCUUGGAACUGCGUGGCUGGGGGGCGGGAGGGGCAGGCGGAAUUCGUGGUGUAGCGGUGAAAUGCGUAGAUAUCAGGAGGAACACCGGCGGCGAAGGCGGCCUGCUGGACCGCGACUGACGUUGAGGCUCGAAAGCGUGGGGAGCGAACAGGAUUAGAUACCCUUGUAGUC